CUCCUCCUCCUCCUCCUCCUCUCACCCAGGAUCACUUCCGAAACCACUUGGCCUUCAGCCCCUGCCUCGGCCAGAGGUUUCAUUUUUAACUGAAUAUUUACGAAAGCUGAAAGCGUGCGAGGGGGGUGGGGUGGAAAUAGCGGCUGCUUCUUUUCCAAGGAUUUAUUUAAUGGGGAUGUGUUCAAGGCAAGACCGAAUUCAGAAGGAUAUCGACGUCGUGAUCCAGAAGUCCAGAGCUGAGGACUGCCUGUUUGCAGUUCUGUUUCAUCAAAUGGAAAUGGGACAUGGACAGUUUCUCCUAUCCCAUGCAGACCAUGCUCCUGAAUUAAAACUGCAGAAUGUGUUAAAGCAUCAUUCAACAUCGUGAGCACAUUUGAGAUACUGUACAGGACAACCUGCUUUUCAUAUUCUCUGUGAAUUUCAAAGACGACUGGGAUUUUCUUCCUCCUCUACCACCCUGAACAGCAAGACCAAUACAUCCUGUAUUUCCUCCUCUUCAGCCUACUUGUGAAGACAAGGAUGAAGACCUCCAUGAUGAGCCAUCUCCACUUAAUGACUGUCUCACAUUGGCCGGCAACUUGUUCCAGAUGAAAUCUUGCUCUGUCACCCAGGCUGGAGUGCAAUGGCUCGAUCUCGGCUCACUGCAACCUCCACCUUCUGGGUUCAAGCAAUUCUCCUGCCUCAGCCUCCUGAGUAGCUGGGAUUACAGAUGGAGUCUCACUGUGUCCCCAGGCUGGAGUGCAGUGGCGCGAUCUCAACUCACUGCAAGCUCUGCCUCCCGGGUUCACGCCAUUCUCCUGCCUCAGGCUCCCGAGUAGCUGGGACUACAGGCGCCCGCCACCACUCCUGGCUAAUUUUUUUUGUAUUUUCAGUAGAGACGGGAUAUCACCAUGUUAGCCAGGAUGGUCUCGAUCUCCUGACCUCGUGAUCCGCCCUCCUCAGUCUCCCAAAGUAUUAGGAUUACAGGCGUGAGCCACCGCCCCCGGCCCUCAAAGAUUGUUAUGAGUCCUCACAGAUGUCAGAGGACGAUGCUGUGACCUAUAUUUGCAAACGCCCGGAAGACUU
rnacentral:lncRNA from 1 species